rnacentral:rRNA from 1 species
GACGAACGCUGGCGGCAUGCCUAAUACAUGCAAGUCGAGCGAACAGAUGAAGUGCUUGCACUUCUGACGUUAGCGGCGAACGGGUGAGUAACACGUAGGGACUCUACCUAUAAGCGGGGGAUAACAUUCGGAAACGGGUGCUAAUACCGCAUAAUAUCUUCUUCCGCAUGGAAGAGGAUUGAAAGACGGCUCUGCUGUCACUUAUAGAUGACCUUGCGGUGCAUUAGUUAGUUGGUGGGGUAACGGCCUACCAAGACGAUGAUGCAUAGCCGACCUGAGAGGGUGAUCGGCCACAUUGGGACUGAGACACGGCCCAAACUCCUACGGGAGGCAGCAGUAGGGAAUCUUCCGCAAUGGGCGAAAGCCUGACGGAGCAAUGCCGCGUGAGUGAAGAAGGCCUUCGGGUCGUAAAACUCUGUUAUAAGAGAAGAACAAAUUGUAGAGUAACUGCUACAGUCUUGACGGUAUCUUAUCAGAAAGCCACGGCUAACUACGUGCCAGCCGCCGCAGUAA